rnacentral:rRNA from 1 species
AUUGAACGCUGGCGGCAGGCUUAACACAUGCAAGUCAAGCGGGGAAGAGUAGCUUGCUACUUGACCUAGCGGCGGACGGGUGAGUAAUGCUUAGGAAUCUGCCUAUUAGUGGGGGACAACAUCUCGAAAGGGAUGCUAAUACCGCAUACGUCCUACGGGAGAAAGCAGGGGACCUUCGGCCGUUGCGCUAAUAGAUGAGC